UGGCUUAAUCUUUGAGACAAGCAUAUGACUACUGGCAGGAUCAACCAGGUAGCAUUCCUCUUCGACGCAGCCCGUAACGCAAGGAGAAUCCAAGACGUGACGAACUAUCGUUUUGGAGAAGCGAGAACGCUUAACGAGGGCAGAUGUAGGAUCGUGUAAGACCCAUGCCCACAUCAGUUUCCGUAUACAAGAGACCAAGCGAUGCUUCAAGGGCCACAUCAUCGAUGCAAAUGCACCAACAAGGUGGAUCACGAAGCCCGCUUGAAGGUUCAUCCCACGCCGCAUGAACGACGCAUGACGAAAAGGGACAUCCAUAAACCCACACGUUACCAUCGGUUAGGUAUGCAACACAGGAAACCCACAAAAUGCUCAAGACAAAAGAAGCCUUGAACACAACUGAAGAGGCAUGCACGCGUGGACGUUGCUGCGCAAGCAGACAGCCAACCACCCGUAACAAACCAAACACCACUCAUGCACCUUUAGGGUCGACAUUCCCGAAAACCGUCCAACUAGUAGCGACCCACCCAACUCGAAAGCCGAGUAAGCAACCAAAAGCCAUAACAAUCCCCAGAAUGCACC
rnacentral:misc_RNA from 1 species